UGUGUAGGCGGUCUUGCAAGUCUAGGGUGAAAUCUCUCGGCUCAACCGAGAAACUGCCUUGGAGACUGCGAGACUUGAGGGCGUGAGAGGAGACUGGAAUUCCUAGUGUAGCGGUGAAAUGCAUAGAUAUUAGGAGGAACACCAGUGGCGAAGGCGAGUCUCUGGCACGCAUCUGACGCUGAGACACGAAAGCCAGGGGAGCGAACGGGAUUAGAUACCCCGGUAGUCCUGGCUGUAAACGUUGGGUACUAAGUGUUGGCCGAUAGACCCGGUCAGUGCUGCAGCUAACGCGCUAAGUACCCCGCCUGGGGAGUACGGCCGCAAGGUUGAA
rnacentral:rRNA from 1 species